rnacentral:rRNA from 1 species
UACGAAGGGGGCUAGCGUUGCUCGGAAUCACUGGGCGUAAAGGGUGCGUAGGCGGGUCUUUAAGUCAGGGGUGAAAUCCUGGAGCUCAACUCCAGAACUGCCUUUGAUACUGAGGAUCUUGAGUUCGGGAGAGGUGAGUGGAACUGCGAGUGUAGAGGUGAAAUUCGUAGAUAUCGGGAGGAACACCAGUGGCGAAGGCGGCGAUCUGGGUCGAUACUGACGCUGAGGUGCGAAAGCGUGGGGAGCAAACAGG